rnacentral:rRNA from 1 species
AGCGAACGCUGGCGGCAGGCCUAACACAUGCAAGUCGAGCGCCCCGCAAGGGGAGCGGCAGACGGGAUAGUAACACGUGGGAACGUACCCUUCAGUUCGGAACAACCCAGGGAAACUUGGGCUAAUACCGAAUACGUCCGUAAGGAGAAAGAUUUAUCGCUGAAGGAUCGGCCCGCGUCUGAUUAGCUAGUUGGUGAGGUAACGGCUCACCAAGGCGACGAUCAGUAGCUGGUCGAGAGGAUGAUCAGCAUCACUGGGACUGAGACACGGCCCAGACUCCUACGGGAGGCAGCAGUGGGGAAUAUUGGACAAUGGGCGCAAGCCUGAUCCAGCCAUGCCGCGUGCGGGAUGACGGCCU